AUUGAACGCUGGCGGCAGGCUUAACACAUGCAAGUCGAACGAGUGGCGGACGGGUGAGUAAUGCGUGGGAAUAUAGCUUAUGGCGGGGGAUAACUACGGGAAACGGUAGCUAAUACCGCGUACCAUCAGAUGAACCCAAGAGGGAUUAGGUAGUUGGUGAGGUAAAGGUUCACCAACACUACGGGCUCUAGCUGGCCUGAGGGGAUGAACAGCCACACUGGGAUUGUGACACGGCCAAGACUCCUACGUGAGGCAGCAGGGGAGAAUAUUGCGCAAUGGGGGCAACCUGACGCAGCCAUGCCGCGUGAAUGAAGAAGGCCUUCGGGUUGUAAAGUUCUUUCGGUAGGGAGGCGUUAACUACAGAAGAAGCACCGGCUAACGCCGUGCCAGCGGCCGCGGUAAUUC
rnacentral:rRNA from 1 species